CUCUUGGCUGGACAAAAGAGAAUGAAAGGAAUAACAAAAGCCAGAAUCUUGUGUAUCAUUCUGUUUUAUCAUAAGAGUGAGUUGUCUGAAACGCACUUGCAGACACAAAGAAAGGGUUCAAAGUAGAAACACAAGGUACGCUGAUAUAAUGGUCUAAAGAUAUAGUAACUAAGCUAGUUUGCAUAUAUCCUCAUACUCAAUAGACUUGAUGACUCUCCCUUCAUAAACACCUUUCUCAAUCUGCACUUUAGCACAGAACUUCUCCGUAUCCACGCCCAACAACUUCGCAACUGAACCGCGAUACGCCCCAUUCACAAUCUUCACCAACCCUCCAAUCUGCGGAAUCACAGUCUCAAGCUCCUCCUGAUCAACUCGCAGCACAUGCUUAGAAUCAAUCAUCUCAAUCUCCCCGACAUAGUCAUCAAUCACUUUCCUCACCACACCCUUCUGCUUAUAAUACCCUUUAUCCGCCAGAGCUUUACUCAUCACCUUCACAACAAUCCCUUGGAACAGCCAGUAAGGCUUGCGAUUCAUCCUCUCCUUCUUCCUCUCUUCCUCCUUCAUCAACUCAUCCAAAGCAGACCUUCUCUCCUUCUCCAAGUCUCCACCUUUUCUCCUCUUCUUCUUCUCCUCUCUCUCAUUCUCUUCCUCCUCAAACACACGCCUCGAGCUCUCACCCGUAGUAACAACCUGUUUAGCCCCUCCACCGAGUGAAAACCCAACCUUGACAACACCACUCUUCAACCCAAAGUCUUCACCUUUCUUCUUCUCAUCAUCAUCUUUACCACUACCUUCACCUUCCUUGGCUCUCUCAAUCUGUCUCCGAAUCUCCCUCUCCUGCUUCUCCUCCUCAGCCAAAUCACUCUUCACCCUCUUAUUCUUCAACCUCUCUUUAAAAAUAGUCUCCGAAUCUCUAUCAAUAUAAGUAAUGAACCACCCUUUAGGCGUCUCCUCGACCUUACACUUCCCCGUCUUCCCCAAAUACUUUAUAAACUCCGUCAGCGUCGCCCACUCCGUCGAGUUCAUAUGCACAUGGUGCCUAUCGUUAAUGUACUCGUUGUACACCACGGUGGCGGCGAUGCGAGAGAAACGGUGGCUCCGCCGCAUGAGGUCGAGGAAGGUCUUCUCGAACUCCUCGGAGUAGCCCUGGAGGACGCGCCUCUGGUUCUGGCCGAAGACCUGCAUCUGGCGCUGGUGAGACUCGCUCAUGCAGUGGCACUUGAACCCGUUCUCGUCGCGGCACUGCUUCUGGCACAUCUGGCAGUACCACCGGAGCUUCUGGAGGCCUUUCGCCUUCAUGCGGUUCGCGAUCGCCUUCGGGGUGAGGAAAUCGUUCUUGCCCAUCGUCGAAUCGAAUCGAAUUAGGGUUCUUGGGGGAUUGGAAUCAGAGAGCAGAAACGACGUGACUGGUCGAGGUUUCGCGAAGAAUCGAUUUUUCUUUCUUGUCGAUGAAUUGAAGAGAGACGGAUGAUUAGCGAAACUCACUAAUGGGCCUAUAUAAUAUGUAGUAGAGGCUACACAUUGGCCCAUAUGUGGUUCAGUUUCAUCUAUAGUUUGUUGUGUACGGGUAAUUUGUUUCAAACCCAACUUUUACUCGGAUACCCAUCCAAUACAGUUUGAAUUGGUUGCUUUUGGUCAAACAUUUUGUAUUCAAUGCGUCUAAAUUUACCCAAAAUAAUAUACGGCUUGAAUCCUUUGUAAAAGCAAAAUCAAAGAUCACAGGGUUUCUUAAAGAUAAUACAUUAGUCUCACUUACAACGGCACUGAGUAAACCAAUGAAAAUCAAAGACAAACCAGUCAAGAACAUGUCAUGAAACAGAAUCUCAUCUGCAGUAACCUUCGGUGACUCAUGAAACGAUCCAUCAGGGAUCAUUAUGCAGUCAAACCCCAUCAUCUUCUACCCUCUACGAUGCAACCAUGUUCUCUUGGCUGGACAAAAGAGAAUGAAAGGAAUAACAAAAGCCAGAAUCUUGUGUAUCAUUCUGUUUUAUCAUAAGAGUGAGUUGUCUGAAACGCACUUGCAGACACAAAGAAAGGGUUCAAAGUAGAAACACAAGGUACGCUGAUAUAAUGGUCUAAAGAUAUAGUAACUAAGCUAGUUUGCAUAUAUCCUCAUACUCAAUAGACUUGAUGACUCUCCCUUCAUAAACACCUUUCUCAAUCUGCACUUUAGCACAGAACUUCUCCGUAUCCACGCCCAAC
rnacentral:lncRNA from 1 species